rnacentral:rRNA from 1 species
CUACGGGGUGCUGCAGUCGCGAAUCUUUUGCAAUGCACGAAAGUGUGACAAAGCGAGCCAAAGUGCUUUCUGCACAAGAAAGCUUUUCUUCACUUUAAAAAGGUGGAGGAAUAAGGACUGGGUAAGACCGGUGCCAGCCGCCGCGGUAAUCCCGGCAGUCCAAGUUGCAGCCAACAUUAUUGGGUCUAAAACAUCCGUAGCUUGUUUAUUAAGUUUCUUGUGAAAUCUUAUAUCUCAAGGAUAAGGCGUGCAAGAAAUACUGGUAAGCUAGAGACCGGUAGAUGUAAGGAGUACAUUUAAGGUAGUGGUUAAAUACGUUAAUCUUAAGUGGACUAACAAUUGGCGAAGGCACCUUACAAGGACGGAUCUGACAGUGAGGGAUGAAGGCCAGGGGCGCAAAACGGAUUAGAUACCCCCUGUAGUC